UGCUUUUAGGUAAAAACAAGAAGGCCACACAUCAUUUUGAACUCUGAUUGCUUUAUUUUCAAAAGAUUAAUUUUGCGACUGGAUGACCUCAACAUGAGUCGUUUUUUUUUUCUAUUUGUUUCUUGCUUUUUCUUUUCUAGACUGCCCUUUCGGGUUUUCAAUCUAGUGGGCUUAUUUUUUUUUUUUUUUUUGUCUUUCUUUUUCUUUUGAUGGAAAAGAUUAUUUAUUUUGGCAAAGUGAAGGGUGAAGGCUUUCAAGCAACAUGCACAAACGUCUUGAGAAAAAU
rnacentral:lncRNA from 1 species